CCGGUGCUGCAUGGCUGUCGUCAGCUCGUGUUGUGAAAUGUUGGGUUAAGUCCCGCAACGAGCGCAACCCUUAUCCUUUGUUGCCAGCGGUUCGGCCGGGAACUCAAAGGAGACUGCCGGUGAUAAACCGGAGGAAGGUGGGGAUGACGUCAAGUCAUCAUGGCCCUUACGACCAGGGCUACACACGUGCUACAAUGGCGCAUACAAAGAGAAGCGACCUCGCGAGAGCAAGCGGACCUCAUAAAGUGCGUCGUAGUCCGGAUUGGAGUCUGCAACUCGACUCCAUGAAGUCGGAAUCGC
rnacentral:rRNA from 1 species